rnacentral:rRNA from 1 species
AGUAAUGCUUCGGAAUCUUGCCCAGUAGUGGGGAAUAACUAGCCGAAAGGUUAGCUAGAUUUACCGCAUACGUCCUACGGGGGAAGACGCAGGGGUAUCGCAAGACUUGCGCGUAUUGCGAUGAGCCCGAACUCGGAUUAGCUAGUUGGUGAGGUAAUCGGGUGUCACCACCGGCUGACCAGUCCGUAGCUGGUCUGAUGAGGACGCACCAGCCACACUGGGACUGGGCCAGGGUCCAAAACCCCAAACGGGAGCGUGGAUAUGGACAGGGGGAAACCCUGAUCCAGCGACGCCGUUGUGUGUGAACGAAGGCCUGCGGGUUGUACAAGCACUUUUAGUGGGGAUGAACAAGCCUACGGCUAAUACCUGUUGGUCUUGACCUAACCCAAGAACAAGGCACCGGGUAUCUCUUUGCCAGCAGCCGGGG